UAUGAUUUAAGAGAAAAAAUGGACACUCGACUUAGGCAAACAAUCAAGAAAUGUUAUAUAGUCAUGACAACUUUAUUGCCUGAGCAUGUACAGUUCACAGAGCAUGCUUUUAGACAUUUUACACUUACCAUUACUUCACUUAAGCAUCAUAAAGCAUUACUCUGCAAGAUUUGUAUUAAUAGAAUGGUUACCGGCAUUCUACAGAGGAAGAGUUAGAAACUUAUAGAAAUUAAAUAACGACAGCUUUACUUUUCUAGUAAGUCAGAAGGUUCAGAUUCAAACCAGGCCAGUCUGAUUCCAAAUGCAAUGUUAUUCCCAUUAGUCUCUGCUACUGAUGGGAAGUCAUAAUAACUUAGAAACGGUGGCAUUUAUGAAGAAUGUUUAAUACUGUGAAUAUUAAAAGCAGAGCUCUUUAAAACACUGUAUGUCUUUGCAGACGUUAUUGUGAAGUUUAGCCAAGAUGGAGAAAAAGGAAGUCAUCCUUUGUGGUUUACAUUGAGUAUAAAAUAAAGAUAUGGCUACGAAUAUAUUGUAAAGUAUUUCUUAUUGAAACAGUAUUUGUCAUAUUUACAUAUACAUAGGAAUUUUAGAUGAACUAUACACCAUGUGGGGACUAACUUCAUCUUGUGGAACAGAGUAAUUUAAUACCUGCUAAAUGAAUAGAAUUUUGCCUGUACUGUGAUUUUUCCAAUAAGCAUUCCUAAAUUCAACAAAACUAAAAUAUCUCCAUUCUAUAUUUGUGCUAUAUUGAGUAUGAUAAAUACAAAUAAGAAUACAAAUAUAGGUGUUUGUAUUCCAGCAGUGACUCCUGCGAAGAAAGUAUAUCAAUCACAUAUAAUUAAGCUGUCAGUUCCUAAUUUAGAAAGAACUAUCCCGCAUAAUACCAGUAAAUGUAAACAAAUAAAGUUUUGGAAAACAAAACACAGUGCAAAUGCCUUCUAUUUCUAUUGUCACUGAAAUUAUGUUUACUGUCCUUUUUACAUUUACUUUCCAAGUUUAACAUGUAGAUAUUUUAUUAACUAUAAGAGCUAACAUAUUUUAAGCAAACUGUUUUAUGCUAAGUCUGGUCUUGAAUCAUUUACUUACCUGAAAAAAGUUUAUGACUUCCCCCUGGUUCAAAUGUAAAAUUAAUCAUUGAAGCAAAAUUUAUAGUUAAUCUUAGUCACAUACUUGAGCUAACUUAUAGGACACAGGAAUGAGCCAAACAAAUGAAAGUCACAGGUACAUGUAUAAAGUUUGACAUGGUACUCAUUAGACUACUCAGAUUUAUGAGAUAACUUUCAUUGGUCUAACCAUAUUCAAUUUGGAGUUACUAGAUAAAGCAUUUCCUCCUCAUAAGUUUAGUAAAUUAGCUUACACACCAUUAUUUAUGUCAUCUCCAUCAAAAAUAACAACUACGGCAAGAAGCUAUAUUAAAUCUUCUCAAGAAUACCUGAUAUAAAGUUGGAGAAUGUUGAAAAACUUUUUUUCAAAGAUUGCUUUUUAUUUAAUUACUUUUGGAUGACUUACUGAUAAAGGAAGGCAGAAAAGGCAAACAUUCAUUUUUCUACAUGAAGGGAAUAUCACAAUCUUGCCAUGUAAGUUAUAAUCUAUUAUCUCAAAAGGCACAAUAUGAGAGAUAUUAAGACAUCACUAAAAUAUAAAGAUUUCUCUACAAAAUGAAUAUAUAGUCAUGGGCACUAUAAAAAUGACUAUAAAUUAUUGAAUCUUUGUAUUGCAUUUGGCUGAUUAUAAAAUAAAAGGAUUAAAGGCAAGUAGAAGGCAAUUUGUUGAAUAUUAAAUCAUGGGCAUUUAUUGAGAGAAAAAUCAUCAAACCUGAUGAUCUUGAUGGAGAAGUGAAGUUUAAGUAGGAGUGAAAGUUCUACUUAGAAGUUUGUGAGAGACAUAGGAAAUCUUGUUGUCUGAUUACUUUUCACAACUGCCUUUCCCUUUCAAAGAGAAGGAAAUGGUCUGGAGUUCCUAUAAGGGUGAUAAGAUGGAGAUUAAGUGAAAUUGAAUCCUAUACAUGACUUUUCGAUAUUGGAGAAAUGAAAGCUGCAUAUGUCUGGAUGCUCUACACAAUUCCAUUCAGAAUCAGUGACAUCAAGAAGAGAAUAGAUUCUUAGCUACACUCUAUGUGGUAUAAAAAUAUACUGAUACUGCAGAGGAGCAUGAAAGGGGAAGGGCCAUGAAUCUAGUACUUUUCACUUUGUUGUCAACCUGUGAGUUUUAUUUUUUUUCCUCUAAAUUUUUAAGUCUUGGCCACCAAGACCUCUCCACUGUUCACAAUAUUCAUGUUGACUGGCUAAUCACAAAUAAGUUGGAAAAAAAUCCUUAUGAUCUUUCUCUUUAAAUACAUCUGGCAUUGAUUUAUUGAUGUAUUAGGGAGAAAAGUAUCCCAUAGUUAUUGUAUAGUUACAUUCUAGGCAACAUUUACAUUUACAUUCUAGGAAACAUUUUUUUAUGACAAAAUUCAGCUGGUAGACAUAUAAAAAAUAAUGAUGAGAGAAAUCCCUGCUUGGCAUAAAGAUGUGAAUGUCUUCAUAAAUCUAUGAGAAGUAUAAGUCUCUUUGAACAGUAAUCAAGGAAGCAAUGUACUCUCAAAGUGAGCAUAGACAUAAGGUCUUGUACUCAUAUUUCUAAGUCUGAGUUUGAUAAUCAUUAUAAUGAGGCUGACUGAGCCUUGGAAGUUUUGUGGUUAUGCGUCCAUUGUACACUCAUUUCUAUAUUUUAUAAAGGAGAUACUUGUUGAACACCAACUACAUAAAAGGAGCCAUGAAAGAUUUAAAAAAUUGUCUUAAACCUUGUUAUCAAAAAAUUUGGUAGCACUGAAUGAGAAAUAACAUAUGUACUCAAAGUCAGUAGAGAAAAAGGCAUUGUCUCUUAUGUGUGUCAUAAGAUGUUAAAGUGCUGUAAUUUUAGUUCUGUAAUUCUUAAAGAACAAUGUAUAGGGGAAUUCAGGAGGCCUUAAAAUAUAGAUAUUCUUCUUAAAUCUUAUCUGGUUCUCCUUUUCUUCUCACUGUAUAAGUAUUAUUAUACAUUCAAAAGUUUUGAGUCAUGGAGUUUGUGGAGUUCGUGGAGUCAUGAGUCAUGGAGUUCAUUGUGGCUCAGCGGAAAUGAAUCUGACUAGUAUCCAUGAGGAUGCAAGUUCUAUCCCUGGCAUUGCUUAGUGGGUUAAGGAUCCAGUGUUGCCAUGAAGCUGUGGUGUAGGUUGUAGACACGGCUUGGAUCUGACGUUGCUGUGGCUAUAGCUGUGGCUGGUGGCUACAGCUAGGAUUUGACCCAUAGACUGGGAACCUCCAUA
rnacentral:lncRNA from 1 species